rnacentral:rRNA from 1 species
AACGGCCGUACCAUGCUGAAUAUACCGGUUCUCGUUAGAUCACCGAAGUUAAAAUCAUUGGGCGCGGUCAGUACUUGGGUGGGUGACCACCUGGGAACACCGCGUGCCGUU